UGUUGAAGUUAAUGUUUGACAUGUUGACGACAGACGCGCGGACAACAGUAUUCCAUAUUUACGUCCCGUAAACGAGCGUAUAAAAAUAUACUGAGUAGUAAACACAUUCUAGAUACAUAAUUUUAAGAACAUGUUCAUAGAAAAGGGAAUUCAUUACAAAGAAUUUAUACCCGUAAUAAGAAAUACUGGAUCUGUCAAUGACCCGACUUAUUUUAAUAUCUCAUUUACUGUUAUCUGUUUUUGUCCAUUUUAAUUCCUUGUUAUCUGUUAUAAGCC
rnacentral:lncRNA from 1 species